UGAUAAGCGAUGAAGAGGACAAGUAACUUAUAGAGUAUUAGUGUACAGAGAGCCUGGAAGGAUGAGAACAGGCCACUAAGCUAUUUGUGAACUCACCUCAAAGCAAUCAACUGAACCGAUAUCGAUUACGAUAUCCCACUAGGAUUGAUCGUUAGACACACGAUACGUGUUGAACAGUAUCCAUGAUGGAUGAUAGGAUUCCGCCCAAAAGCGAAUACUAUUAUUAUCUGUGGAUCAAGAGACUUGAGUUGUAAAACUUAAGUGAACCAGGGUGGUACCGCGACCAAUACCUUCGUCCCUGUU
rnacentral:ncRNA from 1 species